UACGUAGGGUGCGAGCGUUGUCCGGAAUUACUGGGCGUAAAGAGCUCGUAGGUGGUUUGUCGCGUUGUUCGUGAAAACCGGGGGCUUAACCCUCGGCGUGCGGGCGAUACGGGCAGACUUGAGUACUGCAGGGGAGACUGGAAUUCCUGGUGUAGCGGUGGAAUGCGCAGAUAUCAGGAGGAACACCGGUGGCGAAGGCAGAUCUCUGGGCCGUAACUGACGCUGAGGAGCGAAAGCAUGGGGAGCGAACAGG
rnacentral:rRNA from 1 species